rnacentral:tRNA from 1 species
GCCUGGGUGGCUCAGAGGUUGAGCGUCUGCCUUCGACUAGGAGUGAUCCUGGGGUCCUGGGAUCGAGUCCCAUCUCGGGCU